rnacentral:rRNA from 1 species
UACGGAGGAUGCAAGCGUUAUCCGGAUUUAUUGGGCGUAAAGCGUCCGCAGGUGGUUUUCCAAGUCUGCUGUUAAAGCGCGAGGCUUAACCUCGUACAGGCAGUGGAAACUGGAUGACUAGAGUAUGGUAGGGGUAGCGGGAGUUCCCAGUGUAGCGGUGAAAUGCGUAGAUAUUGGGAAGAACACCAGCGGCGAAAGCGCGCUACUGGGCCAUUACUGACACUCAUGGACGAAAGCUAGGGGAGCGAAAGGG